GACGAACCACACAAACGUUAUUCGGAAUUACUGGGCUUAAAGGGUGCGUAGGCUGUGCGGAAAGUUGGGCGUGAAAUACCUCAGCUUAACUGAGGAACUGCGUUCAAAACUACCGUGCUUGAGGGAGACAGAGGUAAGCGGAACUUAGGGUGGAGCGGUGAAAUGCGUUGAUAUCCUAAGGAACACCGGUGGCGAAAGCGGCUUACUGGGUCUCUUCUGACGCUGAUGCACGAAAGCUAGGGUAGCGAACGGG
rnacentral:rRNA from 1 species